rnacentral:lncRNA from 1 species
GUGUUUGAUAGGUUGAAAAUUUGGCCAACAAAUUGGACAUGUGGUACAUACAUAAAAAACUUGUCUUGCAAAAUAGACAUUGUCUUACAAGUAAGACAUAUAUUGGAGGUCUUAUAGAAUGUUGCUAUAUAGCUCCUAGUUAGAUAGUAUAUAUAAAAGCAAGAGCAAGGCCUUCUUCACUCUUCUCAAUUUCUUUCUUUUUUUUGAUUUAGUUAUAAGAAUUUCUAGUUUUUUAAUCUUUAAUAAUAUUUAUUUCAAUUCUUUUUGAAUAUAUUUAUAUUUUUUAAAAAAAAUGUAUCACUUAUUUAUUUACAUUCUUAAAGUCUUUAUUUUGUAAUACAAUGACUUUCAAAUCUUGCUAUAUGUCAAUAAUAUCUAAAUUCAAUAUAUACUACGAAAAUUCUUUAUAAGUGGAAUGAAAAAAUUCAUAUGCUUCUAUAAAUAUUUUUAUAUAAAAUAAUUCUUUCUAAGCUUAUAAUAUUCUAUUGAAAUUCAAGGUCAAUUAUAACAUGCAUAUUCAAACCUUCAAGCUUAUUUUUAAGGUUUUUAUGUAUAAUCAUAGUUUAAAAAGAUUAAAUUUAAGUCAAUUAAUUAGAACAUUAAAAAUAAAAAGAUCACAAAAUUAAAAUAUAAUUUAAACAGAGAUAAUUUAGUAAUAUCAAAGCAACAAAUCCUUUAAAGAUGCUAAGAUUAAACAUCAAAGACACAUUAACAAAAAACUAACAAAUUCUUAGGAUAUAUUAUAAUGAGAGCUUGUCAAGGACAUGAAUCUCAAUUAAAUAAAAACUCAAUAAACUCUUGUAUUACUCAAAAAGAAAAUAUAUUCAUUCAAAAUUAAUAUUAUAUUUAAAUUAGAAUGUUUAUUAUUAAAGACAAGAAGAAAAAGUCUUAAAACAAGACUAAAGAUUAGAAAGGCAGUAAUAAAAGUGAAGAGGGCUUCACUCUUGCCUCCAUAUAUAUUAUCUAACUAAGAGCUAUUUGGAAAUAUUCUACAAAAUCUCUGACUUAUAUCCAACUUGCUUAAUAUGUGUCUAACUUAUAAGACAAGUUUCUUAUAUGUAUAUUAUAUGGUUAGCUUGUACAACAAAUUAUUAAUAUAUCUAACAUGAAGCUAACUUAUUGGCCAAGUUUUUAACCUAUCAAUUAACUAUAAAUAUGUAUAAAAACAAAUAUGCUUCUAUAAAGCUUCAAAAAAGCAUUGCCAUAAGAUAAUAUCAAAUCUAUCUAUAUUUAUCUCUUACUUAAUAUUAAAUAAGUAAAUAUAUCCCUGAUACUAUCUUCUCUUUCCUUCCCUCUCCUCUUCUUCUAUCUUUUCUAGAAACAAGUUUCAUAAGAAAUGUCAAUUAUAUUUUUAAAAAGUCCAAGAUGCAAUAACUUUUGUUUGUCACAUAUGCUGAUCUUUGUUUUUUUUAAAAGUGGUUGAUAAGUCCUCUCAACAAUUGAUAGUAUCUCAUAUUAUGACAAGAAGUCCAUCCUAAUAUUUGAUCAUUGUUGACACUUUUGGAACGCCUUUCAAAUAAAAUAUUUGGAAUACCAUUUAGGGUGGUUUUUACCUCCAAUAAUAUCAUCUAGCAUUGGAAGUUUCUUUUAAGGUUGUGAUACUAAAUACAUUAUAUUUUACUAUCUAUUCAAGGAAGUAUAUGUUAUUAUUAAGCAUUUCCAUUUCUAUUACAUUCUCUUUAAGGUUGUGAUAUCUAAUAUAAUAUCUUUGAACAAUCUAUUAUAGUGUGGGUGAUAUCCAAUAUAAUAUCUUUGGACAAUCUAUGAUAGUGUGGGUGAUAUCCAAUAUAAUAUCUUUGAACAAUCUAAGAUAGCAAUAUUAUUAAGAAAAAAAACUUAGUUUUUUCUUUACUUGUCAUAAACUUUAUACAUGGUACAAAAUAUAUCAUCUUGGUAAUAUAAUCUACUAUUAUAAAUAUAAAAUCAUAAAAAAUUGAAAUUAAAAGAUCCAUGAUAAAAUUUAUAGAAAUAAAAAAACUAUGAUUGUUUUGAAAUAGAUAAUGGUUGAAGAAGUCUCUAAGAUCAGUAAUGAGGAGUUUUUAAUCUUCAAUAAACAUCAUACAAUUAUAAAAAUUCUUUAAUUGCCUUUUAUAUUUAAAGUUAUCAAAAAUCUCUAAACAUUAAUUCUAAAGUCUUAUUAUAUUCAAAAUAUCCAACUAUUUAGAAGUUGUGACAAACUUAAAGAAUACAUAAUUAUGCUUUAUCUUCUAGAAUAUAUAACAAAUCCUCAAAAUAGAGUAGAUUAUUUUUAAAUUUGAACUUUGAAGUAUCAUGAUAAUUAAAAAAUAUAUAUUUUUUAUAUUAUAAAAAAGAAGAUUAGAUGACACAUUUCAUUAUUUUUUUUUGAAAAAGUUUGAAUGGAUAGUCAAUAUUGAUUUCAUUACUAAAAGAUAAAAUUACUUAAGCUUUAAGAAAAUAAUUUUUUAUUGAUUAAAAGUUGCAUUUUUUUUUUCUUUUAGUAUAAGAUAAGAAUGUCUAAAAAGAUAUUUGAUAAACUUUAUUAUUUUUUAGUCAAUAAGUAAUCUUUAAAUCAAAUCUUAAUAAAUACAUGCUCCAAUGGGCUUAGUAAUAAUUCAUAGCAUGUGCUAAUAUGAAAUAGUUAAGAUUCUUGUGAUCCAUAUAUACAAUGAUUGGAUUAGAAGUGCCUUUUAAAUAAUGACUCUAUUCUUAAAAUGAAUCUAUAAUUUUAAAAUUUUCUUUUUUUGUGGAUCAUAUAGUUAAUUUUAAUUACUAAAAAUUUCUUUAAAUAAAAAACUAUUAAAUAGAGUUUGUUAUCUGCUCCCAUUAGUAAUAAUAUUGUACCAAAGGUAAAAUCUAAUGCAUUUAUUUUCAUAAAAAAAUACCUUAGAGAAGUUGAUGUAAUAUAAGAUUGGUACAAAAUUAAAUAUUGUCUUCAAAGCUUCAAACAAUGGUUUAGUUUUUUUAGUCCACUCAAGUUUAUAUUAAAAAGCCAAACAUGUAAAUAGAGUUACAACUUGAAAGAAGUUUUUAAUGAAGAUUUGAUAAUAACUGACAAACUUCAAAAAAUAUUAUACAUUUCUAAUUUUUUUUGAAAACUUUGAAUCUAUGAUAGUUUGAACCUUUUUAAAAUCCAUCAAAAGAAUAUUAUUUAAAAUGAUGUAUCUUAAAAAGUCAACUUGAAUAAUAUGAAAUAUACACUUUUUUAUCUUAGAAUAUAAUCCUAUAUUUUUAAUUUUUUAUAAUAUAUGACAAAUAUAAAAUUUAUGCUCUUUUAUAUUCUUAAAAUAGAUUAAAAUAUUAUUUAGAUAACAUACAAAAAUAGCAUCAAGAAAGUCACAAAAAUAAUUAUUUAUUAGAUAUUAAAUAGCAAUUAGUCCAUUAGUGAGUCCAAAAGACAUGAAAUUAUAUUUGAAAUGUCUAUGUCAUUUUUUAAAUAUAAUAUUUUAUUUCUUUUUUUGAUGUAGAUUGAAUUGUAUUUUUUUCAUAGAUCUAUCUUUUUAUUAAUUUUUUCUUAAUUGAAUUAAUCAAAAACUCCUAAAAUCAAAGAUAAAAGAUAUACAUCUUUAAUAGUGAUCUUAUUGAAUCAUUGAUAGUCCACGCAUAUUUAUAAAGAUCUAUCUUUUUUUUUCACAAAUAAGAUAAGAAUUCAUGUUGGAGAUUUAAAAUGGCAUAUAAAAUUCUCAAUCUAAUUCUUAUUAAUGUAUUCUUUAAGUGUAGCCAACUUAUUUUGUAAUAACUUAUAAAUUGAUCAAAAUGGCGAUUGAAUUCUUUCUUAAAGUUCAAUUGAACAAUCAUAUGGAUAAUGCUCUAAACGAAUAUUUAGAUUUUUUUUCUCAAAAAGAUCUUAAUAAUCUUACUUCUAGCUUGCAAUGUCACUUAAAGUCUUUCCACUAUUAGAAAUAGAUGCAGUAUAUAUGGCAAAAGAUGACAUUUUUUUUAUAUCAUGUAUGAAAGCUCUUAUACCUACUAGUGAAUAUUUGGUUGUAUUAAAUUUGUGGAUUUUAAUAUGACUAAAUUUUUUUUGAAAUAAUCCAUAAAAAAAAUUAAAAUUAUAAGAUAUUUAGUCUAUUUUAGGAUUAUACUUCUCUAACCAUGGUAAUUCUAAAAUAACUAGAUUGAAAGAAGAUUUAAUAAAAAUAAAUAUUACUAAGCUAUUAUGUUGUUAUAUUUAAAGAAAUAGUUUUAUGGAUAAUAUAUCUAAAAGAUAACAAACAACCAUUUAUGAUUUCUUCAUGUAUAUGUAAUUUUUCUUAACUAAAAUUAUUUCUUAUUUUUUAACAAAGUUUUCACUUAUAAAAUAAGGUGAGGUUCUUGAAUCUAACAAGAUUAAGAUUUUGUAGUUUUUUGGUCCUAAAAAAACUUCUAUUAUAAAGUAAAGUAAAAUAUUUGAGGAGAGAAGAAAAAAUUUAUUAAGUGUUGCAUUAAAUAUUAGUUGCAUAAUCUCUAUUGUAGCUAAAGAAGCAUAAUUCUAAAGUAUGAAGAGUAUGGUUUUAUAAUAUAUCAUCUUCUUUUGCAACCAUGCUCCUUAUUUUGUGACUAUCUUGUUUCUUUGGGUAAUGUUAAGUAAUGUGCUUAGAUUAUUCCAAAAUAUAAGCAUAAACCUUCUUAAUGAUGUUAAAUCUUUUCUUGCUUAAUAAGAGGUUUAAAACAUAUUGUGUCAAUUUAUGUAGGUUUUGGCCUUGAUUUAUAAGCUUUGAAAUAUUUAAAAGUUGUUGCCAUGACUUAAGUUGUACUUCUCCAACAAAACCUUUAUUUUUGAUAUCUUUCAAAGAAUUGAUUAUGAUGGCUUGAACAAUAAAUUAUUCCAAUGAGUCUUUUCUUGGCAUCAUCAACAAAGAAUCUUUGCUAUUAUCUUUUAAUCCAUACCAAAGCUGAUUAAUAAAGGCUUUAUGAUUCAUAUCCAUAUCACAAGCAAGGUUUUGGAAUUUUGCAGCAUAUAUGGUAGCUGAAUGUGAUUUUUAUUGUAAAUAUACAAAUUAGGUCUUUGUUAUCAUUUCUUGAUCACUUUCUCUAAAUGUGACUAUAAACACUUCUAAGAAUGAAUUCACAUUAUAAAAGAGUUGUAAAAUCUUUUUGAUCAAAGUUAUAAAUUAAAAAAGAGUAUUCUUAAAUAGAGGCAUAUUUAUGAAUCUAACUUGAAUAAAUCCAUCUAAGUAUUGAAAAGGAUGUAAUUUUAUAUAGAGCUUUAAUUGUUGUAAAAAUCCUUGAAACUUUGAUCUUUUUCCAUUGAACUUAUCCAACAUACUUAUCCUUGUCUUUUACAUACUUCUAUUAUAAGACUUUUUGGAUUCUCUAGUAUACUUGAUCUACUUGUCUCUCUCAAUUGCAUAAUUUUUUGGUAUAGACUUUAAACUUUAUUAUUGAUUUUUUACAUAGACAUAGAAAUAGUAUUUUUAUAGUUCACAUUAGAAAUACAUGAGAUUUCUACUCUUAGAAUAUUAAUAAGCUUGUGAAAAUUUGCAAUAGUUACAAAUAUAUUUUUAUUUUUACCAAAAAUAGCAUCCAAAAUUUUUUCUUCUAUAAAAAAAUUGAAAAAAAUCUAUAAGUCAAAUUAAAGAAUGGUAGUUUGUAACUUCUAAUAUCAAAGAAAAAUUUCUAAAAAUAAAAUAGUCUACUUUCUUAGAAAAAUCAGAAUUAGAUAAUUAAAAUAUUAACUUUAAAGAUUGAUAAUUUGCAACCUUCAAAAUACAUCAAUAAAAGUUAAAUAAUUUACUAAUUUUUAAAUAAAAAAAAUAUUAAAUUUGAAAUAUUAUCAAACUAUCAAAAAAAUUAAUUUAAAAUAAAUAAAAAUCCAAUACAUUCUUGUAUCAUUUGAAAAGAAUAGAUAUUUAUUCAAAGUUAAUAUAGUAUUAAAAUUGAAAGGCUAUUGUCAAAGAUAAGAAGACUAAAAAGUCUUGAAAAUAAGACUAAGAAUUAAAAAGGCAUUGAAAAAAAAUAAAGAAAGCUUCACUCUUAUCUUCUUAUAUACUAUUUAACUGGGAGUUAUUUGGCAACGUUCUACAAGACCUCCAACAUGUAUCUAACUUACAAGACAAGUUUCUUAUAUGUGCAUUACAUAGUUAGCUUGUACCAUAAGCUAUUGAUACAUACAACAUGAUGCUAAUUUGUUAGCCAAGUUUCUAACCUAUCAAUCAACUAUAAACAUGUAUUAAAUCAAAUAUGCUUCUAUAAAAUUUCUAAGAAGCAUUGCCACAAGAUAAUAUCAAAUCUACAUAUAUUUAUCUUCUAUCUAAUACUAAGUAAAUGUAUACAUCCAUGAAAAAGCCUCAGGAAAACUUAUAGAAACAACAUGUGAAAUUUUAAAAAAAAUAUGACACUUAUAUUAGAUGGAAAUAAGAUUGAUUUUUUUAGCACAUUAUUUGCAACAGUUGUAUUUCAAUAGUUACUUAAGAUUUAGAAAAAGAUUACUUUUUAUAAAGAAUUAUUAAAGGCUAUAUUAUUUUCUUACAUAAAAAAGAUGUUAAAUUAAGGUUGAAAAAUUAGCAACCUAUUAUCUUACUCAAAACUAUAUAUAAAACAUAUGCCAAAGUAAUUCAAAAAUAUUCUUAAUAUAUACUAAUAGAAGUGAUUCAUCAAAUUCAAACAAUCUUCUUUUUCUUUCAAUACAUUUUAAGCAACAUAUUAAUUACUCAAAAAAUUAUUAAUUGAUCCAAAUUGAUUUAAUCAACAUCUUUUUCUUUUAAAAAAUUAAUUUUUUUAAAGCCUUUGAUAAAUUCACUUGAAAUUUCUUAUUUUAAGCUAUAGAUAUAUUUAGAUACAAUUCCUAAUUUUGUUACAUGAUUAAAAUUAAUUUUUAAGAUAGAAGUACAAUAGUAGGCUAAUAUGUCAUGUUUACAAAAUAUUUCAUAAUUUAUAGGAGGGUAAGACAAGGAUGCUCCUUAGUUCUAUAUCUAUUUAUUCUUAUUGAUAAAAAAAAAUUAAUAAAGCCAUUCUAAAAGCACUUUAAAGAAAACAAGCUUCAUGGUAUUAACAUUCUUUAAUGUAUUGACCAACAAAUAAUAUGUCAAUACUUACAAGACUCUACUAUUACAAUUAAAAGGAGAAUAGCAUACAUACUUUGAUAAAGUUCAUCAAAUAAUUCAAUCUAGCCUUUAGUCUUCAAAUUGAUUAAUCUAAAUCUAUAACUUAUUAUUAAUUCCAAAAAAUCAAUAGAUCCACUUGGAUUAGUGAUUUUUGAUGGGCUUGUACUUCUCCCAAUAACAUUAAUAAGCUCUUAGAUACCUCUUUUGACUUAUCUAUAUAUUCACAAGACAUCAACUAAUUUUUUAUUGACAUGAUGUCUUGUAAGCUUAAUUAUUAGUGAUCCACAAAAAUUAAUGUAAUUGAUAGGAUAAUAAUAGCAAAUAAUAUUUUUUUUCCAUUACUAGACUUCUUUCUAGCUAUUUAAAAUGGCUCUUUGAAAGCAAUUUGGUAAUUAAAAUCCAUGAUUAAAAUUUUCUUAUGUGAUAACAUUUCUUUCUUGACUUUCUUAAAAAUUACUUGAUCAAUCUACAAUAAGGAUAGAAUAGAAAAAGGCCUUAGUAUAGUUGAUUUUUCAGAGGCUACUAAAGCAUUCCUUAUCAAAUAGAUUGUAAGAGCUCAUGCUCCAAAAUCUAGAACAAAAUUGGCAAAGUCUAGUCUUAAAUGUGCGUAUUUCUAGGGUAUAAUCUCCCAACUUCUUUUUAUGAGAUAUAGAAUAGAUUUUAAUAGUGAAAUAUUGAAUUUCUAUUGAUUGACUUCCACAUAGAUGCUCAUUAAGUUGCAACUCUAUAUUCAAAUUAUCUCCAACAAGUCAAAAAAAAAAUUUAAGACAUAAUACAAUUGCUAACUAUUCAAGAAGUUAGAUCUAAAUAUCUACUUAUUAAUCACAUUAGUUAUGCUUGGUCGUUUUUUACAUAGGUAUUUUCUUAGAACUUGAAAAACUAUACUCCAACAAGAUAAAACUUAUUCUAAAUUCCAAGAUUAGAUUGGUUCAUAUACCUUGGAAAAGAAUCAAUUGGUUCAUACAACUUGGAUGAGAAUCAAUUGUUGUAUUCCAAUUCUCUACGCAAUACAAAAGUGUUGAAGAAGAUAAUUAGUUCUUUUUACUAAAAUUUAUAAAAUUAAAAUCUUCUAGAUAGGUAUUUAAGCUUCUAUACUACAAUGAUAUUCUCUCUUAAAAUCAAGCAAACCUACAAUCCAAAAAUAAUGAGACUUUAGUCCUUGGUUUUAAAAAAAAUAAUUAGAGUGGCUUAUAAGACUUCUUAAAUACAAAAAAGAAAAAAGAAAAAAAAAUGCAUGAAAUUUUUCUAUGGCCCAUUGUAUGAGCUGAUCUUUGAGCCUAAAUCAUAUUCUUAGGCAAUAAUAAAAGAGUUCAUAAUAUAUUCAUCCAAACUUAGAUAAAAGCUUCUUCAAAGAAAUAUCUCCACUACUAACCUAGAAACAAAAAAUGCAGUAUACUACUAAAACAUACUUCUUGAAAUAAAAUGACAUAUGAUCCCAACUACAAUCCAAAAAAGAAACAAACUUUAUUUGGUUGCAAUGGCAAAUGAAGUGGUUGUCAACACAUGAAAAGGCAAAUUAGUUUAGUUAUUGAGAUUGAUUGCGUCAAACAAAAUUGGCAUGCUGAAAUUCAAAACCAUUAUAAACUGAAGCAUGUUCUAUUGUUUGUUCAAAAGUCAUGUUGACAUUCAGACAGGUAUUUCUUUUAAUGAUUUUCAUGUGAUCAAUAAUCAACUCUCACAAGGAUGAAAACAAAUAAAUCGAAAGUAUUAAGUAGAGAAUUCAUAACGCGUAUUGUGAACAUAACAUUUGUUAAGAUCCAGAUCAUACUGUUUCAAUCAUACAUAAUUUAGUGUGUUGAAGGUGACAUCAAAUUGAUUUGUAAAUACAUGAUUACUCCAAAUCAAAAGUGCUCACACAAUACCCACAAAAAGCAGAAAUCACGGCGACAUGGGCUAAAUGAAAGCACUAGGGAGCACAAUUCAACUCUGAAAUUUGACUUGAACACAGAUUAAUGCUACAAAAUUCCCACGACAACAAUUCCAACGUGGACGUUCUGACGACGAAGACGACAGCUAUGCAUUUUAACACAGCAGAUAAAAACCUCAGGUGAUGAAAACAAAAGUCACAUAUUAAAUGCACACUGAACAUGCUUAGGGAAUCCAACUUUGCAUGGAAGUUAAGCAGUAGUCUGCUCAUUAGCACCCCGGGUGCUCAGCUUCUCAGAAGGCGAGAACGCCGGGUCUACUGCGACUUACAAUGCCUUUCCAUAACCACUGUUGCAAUAGUUACCAAGCUGAACUAAUCUGUCCCAUUACAAAGUGGGUGAGAGAAGAAAAGCCUUGUACAUAUUGCAAAUCUGAAAAGCCUGAUGCAACAAAAGCUUGUCAGUGUUGAUGAACUGCCAUGCUUGGUUGCUCCCAAAAAAGUAAGUAUCUGCCUCUGCUUGCGAACGUCGACUGCUAGGUUAGACUCCACUAAAAGCUCUCGAGAUCAACUACAAUGUAACUACUCUAUCAACGAUCAAGGACCACUAAUUUCGUUUGGGUGACGAUUCUUAUGUCAAUUAGGCCAUCACUUCCUUCGCCUUCGCCACCACGUUGUCGACGGUAAUUCCGAACUCCUUGUACAGAAUGUUGGCUGGGGCACUGGCACCGAAGUGGUCUACUCCGAUCGCCCUGCCCUCCAGGCCGACGAAUCUCUCCCAACCGAACGUGGCGCCGGCCUCCACCGACACACGGGCCGUCACAUCAGAGGGCAACAAAGAUUCCUUGUAUUCCGCGCUCUGCUCCUCGAACAACUCCCAGCAAACGAACGAGAUCACCCUCACGGUCUUGCCCUCGCCCCUGAUCACGUCCGCGGCCUUCGCGGCGAUCUCCAGUUCCGAACCCGAAGCCAUCAGGAUCAGGUCGGGUUUGUUGUCCUUGGAAUCAUCCGAGAUCGCGUAUGCGCCGAGCUGGACAUUGUCGAUGGAGGUUCCGGGCAAGUUGGGCAGUUUUUGUCGCGACAAAGCCAAGGUCGAUGGUCUCUUCCUGUUCAGCACUGCCACCUUGUAAGCUCCCGAGGUCUCGUUUCCGUCCGCAGGCCUCAGCAUCAACAUGUUGGGCAUGGCCCUAAAGCUGGCCAAAUGCUCAAUGGGCUGAUGGGUGGGACCAUCCUCUCCCAAACCAAUCGAGUCGUGGGUCAUCACGUAGAUCACACCAGCCUCGGCCAAGGCGGAAAUCCUCAUCGCCGCCCUCAAGUAGUCAGUGAAAAUGAAGAAUGUGGCGCAGUACGGGAUCAGACCACUCAAGUGCUGCAGCAUUCCGUUACAGAUAGCUCCCAUGGCGUGCUCCCUCACUCCAAACCUCACGUUGCGCUCAGCCGGGGUGCUCUUCUGGAAAUCUCCGAACAUCUUCAUCAGGGUCAUGUUCGAUGACGCCAAAUCGGCACUGCCACCGAUCAGCCCUGGAAGGGUCCUGGCCAAGGCGUUCAAACAUCUCUGGGACAAGUUGCGGGUGGCGUCACCAGCGUCCUCGGGGGUGAAAGACUGCAUCACACCCACAAAUUCCAUUACUCUCGAUAAAGUACCAUCAACAGCCUGUUCAGACACCAAUUACAAUUUCACUUCCACUCACAUUGCACAGGCACAUAAUCGCAAACCUACCCAGUAUCGCAAAUGUUAGAUCUUGCCAGACUUAACAGACCACAACUGUUGAAAUCUUGCACUACCAAGCAGUCUGAUUUACUUACAGGAAGAGCCUUGUCCCAGCCUUCGGGCAAUUCACCGCUGAUCAACUGCUUGAACUCGGCACCUUCUUCAGGGUACUUCUGUGCGUACUCCUCCACAGCAGCUUCCCACUCGCUCUGGUACUUGGUUCCCAGGUCAGUGUGCUUGCUCCAGUGGCUGCCACAAAGAAAAACAUGCAGAGACAUGUGAGACACCCUGCGUUCUAAUGUUACACCUUUGACACAUCGCUACAUCUGCUCAAGAAAUUUACUGCAAUGGAACUACAAUCGACGACUUACGGUAAACACUCUAGAACAGCCCACCCCCUGCAAUCAUCGUCCACAGAGCCACAUUACAACCACGUGCUCGGGAAAAACAUCCGCAAUUACACUCACCUCUUGACUUCAUCGGGCACGUGGAAGGGCUCAUAUGGCCACCCCAGGUUCUGCCGAGUCGCCUCCACCUCCUUGCCUCCCAACGCCGCACCGUGCACAGCAUACGAGUUCGCCUUAUUCGGCGAUCCGAAACCGAUGGUGGUCGUCACCUUAAUCAUCGUUGGCUUGUCUGUCACGGACUUAGCCUCUUCGAUUGCGGCACGGAUCUCGUCGUAGCCGGUGUUGCCAUUCUUCACCCAGAUCGUGUGCCAUCCCAAAGCCUCAAAACGAGCAUCCACGUUCUCCGUGAAAGCGAUCUCGGUGUCUCCGUCGAUCGAGAUAUGGUUGUCAUCAUACAAACAGAUCAACUUGCCGAGUCCCCAGUGACCCGCCAGCGAAGCCGCCUCGUUAGAGAUACCCUCCAUGUUGCAACCGUCUCCCAGAAUACAGUAACUGCAUUGAGAAAACAAUCCACAUUGGUCAUCGUUCGAUUCAGCAAUCCUCUUCAGCGCUGUAACACAAGUCAGCCUCUAACAUUAUAUGAGCGGAAUUAGAGCAAGUUACGCCACAACAAUCCAGGGGAUACCCGGAUUAUACCGCCUUUCACACUAGUGCUAGCGCAGCCAGCAAUGCAAUGUGUCUCUUACGUGUAGUGGUCCACGAUCUUGGCGUCAGGCUUGUUGAAACGGGCAGCCAAGUGGGCUUCGGCCAAGGCCAAACCAACGGCGUUAGCGAUACCCUGGCCGAGAGGACCGGUGGUCACCUCAAUACCGGGGGUCUCAAAAUUCUCGGGGUGCCCAGGGGUUCUGCUUCCCCACUGCCUAAACUGCUUUAAGUCUUCUUCCUGAGAACACAACACACAGCGCCAAUCAACACACUUUCACGAACCGCACAAUCAGUCCUUUCCGGCAGACAGUGUCUAACUGUAAGACGUUGCUUUUCGGAAAAUCUAGGACCACUCCUUUUCAGCUUAAUACCUUGUACCCAUCUGAAGGAAACAUCCUGUUCGACACUGUUCAAAACGGAUUCGGUUCGAAGUCCCCAUGUACUGGUGCGAAUUCGGAAUACGGAAGCCUCAAAAACUCUCAAAUACCUCAUCUGAACAGAUUGUAAUCAGCCUAAAGUUGGCGCUAAAAAAAAUUCCCAAGUCUAUGCUUCCCCUUGUCCAAAAGGCAGCAGUCAAAGAGUACAUACAUAUAUUUACAAAAAACCUGAGACGCUGUACACCAGUCUCGGUAGGUCAAUGAGUUCGUAAACAUACCUGAACACUGUCGUACCCAGCGAGGUGGAGGAGAGCGUACUGGAGCAUGCAUCCUGCCGGGCCAAUACGCAUUGUCAGUCAGUGACAAAUCUACGGCAUUGAGAGUUCAAUUGGGUUCCUUCAAUUUUCACAUGCGGCUAGCGACAUUCAAAUUUGAAAUAGCAGUGAUUAAUUCAGAUCCCAGAUCAUGAAUGAAAUGAUAUUAGCCGCAAUUGCUCACCGUGGCCAGCAGACAACACGAAGCGGUCCCUGUUAAACCAGUAGGGAUUCUUCGGAUUGUACUUCAUCACCUCAUCGUACAAAAUGUGCCCCAUGGGAGCGCACCCCAUAGGCAGACCAGGGUGACCAGAAUUCGCCUUCUCCACGGCGUCGAUAGCCAAAAAUCGGAUGGUGUUAACCGACUUCUCCACCAAGGCGUUAUCAGUCUUCUGAGCGGUCUCCACAGAGGCAGUGGCGCGCACGGACACCUUCUUCCCCUUGCGUGCAUUCCGAGCUGGCACGGCAGCGUCACUGCUCACGCCCUUGGAAGCAAUCCUCAAUCCAGCAAACUUGUUCAAUCCCAAUCCCUGCACGGAAGCUCCCAGGCGUUCACCCUGAGCAGUUCCGCGCACGGCAGCAGGCGCCACAGCGCCUGCAACCGCAGCCACAUUACACCUCGCCGCUGCCAUGAUUCCCAGCGCUCCUGAACCCAAGAUCUAAGCAAAGAAGAACAACUAAUCUCAGGGAAACGCGACGUGACGAGGGAACCGGGAGCCAGCCCCGACGCAGGUGACGAAGCUAAGGAGAGAGGGGGGCAAGAGGCAGGGUUAAAAGGAUUAGCAGGCGAGGGGGAGGGGACAGGGAUUGAUGCGGAGCAAAGCAGUGCUGGGGUAGGAGUGGGAUGAUGGGCGAACGGGAUCCAACGGGUCGUCGCGGCGUAGCCGCGAAACGGGGGAGCGCGACACAGAGGGCGUGAGGGUGAGGCCAGGUGAGGCUGGUGGGUGAGGAUAGGGCACUCUUUUUUGCGAAUGCCCGGAUGGGUGGGUGGAACGAGUGGCUGCUGGUCCGCGGUGAAGGUGGUCCAUGGCUGUGGCCGCUCCCCCGGUGACCGCCCGUGCCUUCCCCGGCCCCCAUUCGCUCUCGCGUUAUCCUCCUCCCCUCCUCUGUCUCCGCAUCGCCCUCCCCCUCUCUCACUCUCUCUGCCCCUCUUUCUCUAUGUGUGUGCAUGACUGUGAGUCUUUCACAUGUGUUUCUGUACAUUUGGUUGGGAAAUAUCUCUCACAUGUUCUUGUGUUGUUCAAGGUUGGAACCUCGGCGACGCAUCUUGGUUGUGCAUCUGCCCUGCCACUUGCCUGUCAUUUUGCUAUAGAUGCUGGUUUUGCCAUUUACUGCACCUCAGCGAGUGAGAUAACGAGUCAUGUGGUUAGCCAAAACCCUUCUGAUGUUUCUAAGCAUCUUGUGUGCGUACAAGAAGGAAAAUUAGUAUUUCCACUGUUUUUUCCACAUUUGUUCCUAAAAUAUAAGUUGCAAUAUGUGCAGUUUAAUUGAUUUGUCAUUGUCAUCAAUUGUGUUUAGUUUUCAUUUAUGUGAUUGUACUUAGGCAUUUGUCAAUUACUAAUUCUUCCCUUCUGCUUUAAAUAUCACCAAGGUCAUAAUUCAUGAAUAAAAGUUAUGUAUAUAUAUAUAUAUAUAUAUAUAUACAUAAAGAAAUUCUCUACGUGAAUGUUGCGACAUAAUAUUUUGAAGUAUAAAAAUAAGAAAUCAAGAAUACCACAUCUCACAAAUACUUUUAGUAUGUAAAAUAAAUAAAUAUAUAUAUAUAUAUAUAUAUAUAUGCUAAUGCCUAGAUCAACUUAUUUAUUCUGCAAUCUGACUUGAUUUAUUUAUUUUCUUAAGAAAAUGCUCUUUGAAAAUCUCUCUUGAAAUUGGAAUAUAAACAAAAAAAAAGGUAAUCAAAGCACCUAACUAAGGUGUAUAUAAAAUUCCGAAACUAAAGUAGAAUUCAGGAUUUCAACAUAUUAAAUUAUUAUAUUUACAAUGAUAUUUUGUUUUUAGAUUUCAAUGAAAUUUAUAAAUAUUAAAAAAACAACAUAAAUAAUAAUAUUAAAAAAUUUACGAUUAAAAUUAAAUUCAUCUAUACAAAUAUUUUUUUUAAUUUUAUAUUUUAAUAAAUACAUAUCAACACAUAUGUAUAUAUAUAAUGAACUUAAAUGAACUAAAUCAAUAUUACAUCACAUAAUGUUGUGAACUAGGUCUUAGAAUACUUGUUAAAAACAAUUAUAUGAAAUUGGUCAAAAAAAACUAAUGCAUAAGUCUUAAUUUGUUUUGGAAGAUUUAAAUAUUCUUAAAAUAUGUGACAAAAAAUCCAUGUAAAAAAUAGUUAAUUAAAAAAAAAACAAAAAAAAAAAAACAAAAAAAAACAAAAAAAAACAAAAAAAAACAAAAAAAAAUGAUUUGACAUAAAACACUGAAAUUAAAUAUUGUAGAUGCUUAAAAAUUAAUUUUUUGGGUCUUAAAAAUAAUAAAUAAAUAAAUAAAUAAUGAUAAGAUUUACAGCAACUUUUCCUUUAUGAAUUUAUUAUAUUUUUAAGAUGAAAAUAACACGAAUUUGUUUUUUUAUUAUAAAGUAUUUAUAAAAUAAAAUAAAAUUUAUUUAUUUAUUUAUUUAUUAUAUAAUAAAAAGAAAAAAAUUAUACUUGAGAUGAUGAAAUCUAUAAAUUGAUUAUAAACUUGGUUUAGAUAGAUUAUUUUUCUAAAAUUUGGAGCUUUUCCUUCUAAUUGAUGUUGUUGUCUAAUCAAUUUUUUAAAGUUAUGCUUUUAUAAUCAAAAUAACAACGACCUAACUAAAAUUCCAAACAUAUAAAUUACAAAGUGAUUUUUAAAUAUUACCAAAUCUUUAAUAGUAAUGUUAUUUAACUAUAAAGAAUUAAGGAUACAUAAACAACAUAUACAUGAUUUAUUAUUAAACAAUGAUAAUAGAAUGUGCACUAUAAACCUCAAACUCUAAAGGAAUUUUGACAGGGCAUGUAUGGUUUACAAAACACAAUAAAUAAGUAUGUUAUUUGUAAGCAUAACUUAAGAAUAAAAUAAAAAGUUGGCCAUUUGUAAGUAUUCAUUUUUUUUAAAAGUAUAAUUAAUUAUAAAACCUAUUUGAUUGUUCUUAUAUAAAUCCUAAAAACUACAGUUCCAUAUAUUAUAAUGAUCCAGAUACAACUUAAAUAUAAAAAAAAGUAUUCUAAUAAAUAUUGUCUAAAAAAAAAUUAAUUACUACAAUACUUAUUUUUUUUUAAAGAAAAAAGAAAAAAGAUACUUAUGCUUGUUAAAAAAUAAUAAAAAAAAUCUUUGGUUGUAACCAGUAAUUAAUAAGUAUAACACUUUUUUUUUUUUUAAAUGAAAUGAUACUUUCAAAUAAAUAAUAUUGAAAUAAAAAAAAGUGUUUGACUUUAAUGCUAUUGUAAUUCUAGGAUACAAAGAACAAACUGUUUAUAUUUUAAGUAUACGUAUAUUUUUUUUUCUUUUCUUAAUGUAGCAUUUUUUAAACAUUUGUAUAUUGUUUGAAUGUUAAUUGGCUUAUUAUUUGUACAAAUCAAACAUUAUUUUUUUAAUAAAACCACAUUGUUUAUAAUAAUAAAUACAGGUUAUAUAUAGGUUAUAUAUUUUUUUCUUUCACUUCUAAUGAUAUAUAUAUAUAUAUAUAUAUAUAUGUAUAUGUAUGUAUGUAUGUAUAUGUAUGUAUGUAUAUGUAUGUAUGUAUAUGUAUGUAUGUAUGUAUGUAUGUAUGUGUGUGUGUGUGUGUGUGUGUGUGUAUGUGUGUGAGAUACUAUUAUCUCUUUCAAAGUUUAAAAUCCUUGAAAAAAAUAUUUCUUGUCACAUUGGUGUAUGAGGAGCCUAUGGAAAUAAAUAUACAAUAAUUAUAAUAUCUAUGUAAAAUAGUUUAUUUUUUAUAUUUAUAGUUGUAUAUAUUAGUGAAUUAUUAUUGAUGAAUAAAAAUUACCAAUCCUUGAAUGCUUUUAAAGUUAAGACACAAAAUUAUUUUAUAUAUAUAUAUAUAUAGUAAAAUACUAAAUAGAAUGUAUUAUCGUAUUUAUUAUUAUAUUAAAUUAUUUUUUACAUUAACAUAUCUUUAAAAAAUUAUUUAUAAAAAUUUAUAGCUUAUAUUAAAACAAAUAAGAUAUGUGUAUAAAUAAGUAUAGUUAUAUUUGAUUUUUGCAGAAAUCUAUCAAUAUUAUUUCUUUAAAUAAUAAAUUUUAUUAGUACAUUUUUUAUGUUUAUUUUUUUUUAUUAAUUUAAAAACCUUUUUGUGAUAUUUAUCAAAGAAAUUCAUACUCAAAUAUUUUUUUCAUAGAAAAUCUAAAUAUUCACUAAAAUAACACAAGAUAAAAAAUUUUAAAACAUGAUGCUAAGUUGGUAGUUAAAAUGAAUGUACGUAUAUAUAUAUAUAUAUAUAUAUAUAUAUAAAUUAAAUUUUCAGAAUAUCAUAAUGAUAAAAAUAAAAUAUAUUAAUAAAUUGAUAACAAAAGUAUUCAUAUUUUUAUUUCUUUCCAUAGUUACUUAAAGAUAAAAGCUAUAUUCUGAAACUAAAAUAUUCCAUCAAAUAAAUAAACCAAAUUUUAUUUGCUGCUGAUUAAAAAUACUCUAUACAUAAAUUUACAUUUAAUAUACANNNNNNNNNNNNNNNNNNNNNNNNNNNNNNNNNNNNNNNNNNNNNNNNNNNNNNNNNNNNNNNNNNNNNNNNNNNNNNNNNNNNNNNNNNNNNNNNNNNNUGAUAUUUCUAGGAUCACUCAAAAUAUCAAAUCCAAAUAUUACCAUUCAAACUUUAUUAUUCCUUGAUAUUUUGAUUUCAAAAUCACCCACCUCACAAGAUAGGUGAUUUGGUGAAGUAUCAAGUGAUAUUUCAAAAUAUCACUAGAUACUUUGAGCAAAUAUCAUGGAUUACAUAUUAUCCAAAAAGGCCAUGUUUGAAACCCUCUAAUGUGUUGAAAUUUUUGUAACAUAGGACAAUGACACAAAUAUCUUUAGCAAGUUUGAAGCUUGCAAAUUUCGGACUUAUUGAAAGCUAGCAUUGAGAUUGUCGACAUUGUUCAUUCACAUGUUAACGUCACUUGCUACCUGUAGAAUUAACUUGAGAGAGAUUAAUUGAUGGAGUUCGUAAAAUCAUCUGUCAUUCACAAAUGAGAAUCCUAGAACUCUGGUUCAUUUUGUCUUUAUGAGAGAUUAUGAAUUUAAAGUGGGUACUGCUUACAGAAUUCUAAGCAUCCCCAGAUUCUCAUGGCCACCGAACAGCAAACUCCAACAUCCAUAGAACCGAUCCUUAGAACCGAGGUGGAGUGCAGAUGAGCAGGUUUUCAGGUUCAGAAUAUAAGGGAAGCAGAGACUCGGGGGCCCCCUUAAAUUUUUUUGUGUGCCAUUUACCUUUGUGUCCGUCACUGAACCUCUCUCUCACUCACAUAUAUAUAUAUAUAUAUAUCUAAAUGUGUUCAAAUAAAACUGAGAUACACACAAUGUGUAUUAGAUAAUGACACCCUCAACCAUACAGCGUGGGUACAGCUUAGAAGGUAGGAAUUAAGCUGUCACUGCCUCUAUCAAAAGUGUAGUUUCAGCAGACAAGUUAAAUAUAGUCCUGGUUAAUGACAUGCAUCCAAGUAAAGGUAUUUUCUCAAGUUGGGCAAGACUUGUCAGAACUACCCCACACAGUAAUCAAAGCUAAACGCACAAAAAAAGACAAAAAAAAAAUAAACUCUUAACCACUACAUGUAAGAGAUACUACAGCAUACAUGACAAAGCAGGUACAUAAAAGAAGCUGAGUCACGGGCCCAAAACAAGGCACUCAACCACACAAGAUGGUCAUUGAAUUUCUAAGCACAAUAUGCUGCUCUCAUUACUACAUGCUAAGUAGACAAAACAAAAAUGAAAAAAAUGAAAAAAAUGAAAAAAAAAAAAAAAUGUUGGAUUUAAGUUCCUACCUACCAGGAUUGUUGGACCAAUAGACAUUACUAUUUGGACCAGGAGUCAUCAUGCCCGGACGAAUGGCUCCAGGCUGCAUAUAAACAGGCUGUGGAGGAUUACUGUAGCAAGGGAUUCCUGUCACUAUACUAGGACCAUUCACGGGCCAUUGACCAACAGGUCCCCUACCAUCACUACCUGGAUGCACUGAGCCUUGCACUUGUCCCUGUCCUUGUGACUGUUGCAUUUGCCCUUGUCCUAGUUGCAUUUGUGUUUGUUGCAUUUGGUUAACUUGUGAAUUUCUAGUAUACUGUGCUGGUGGAAUGAAAACUCCAGUCCCAACAGGCUGAUGUGGAGGUGCAUACAUACCCAUUUGCUGGGGAAGAGGAUAAGAGGCUAUGGGUACCAUAUUAACCCUUGCUUGAUACAUACCUUCUGGAUGUUGGUAAUCACCUGCACGAUUGCACACCGCUGCCAGUAAGAAUUACGAAUAAGAACUCAAAAUUACAAACGAAUCUGAAGCACCCAUAGUGUGUAACAUUAAAGAGUUCAUGACAGCAGCUGCAUCUAUCCAAUAAAAUAGAGCAAGAAGAAAGCGCGAACCUCGACUUAACGGUAGAUGCACACCAGAAUACAAACCUGCUGCUUGAUGAGACCAUCGAACAUUGGAACCUAGAUAUGGAGCAGACUGAACUUGGUGAACCUGAGGAACCUCCCCGUGAAGUGGUCCACUUGAAGGGCCCCAGUGUGGAGGACCACCUGACCUUUGUGGUGAAAUUUGUGGAGGCUGCUGCUGGAUAGGCCUUACCCCAGAAAUAAAAUCGUGAUGUGGAGACUGAUAAGGCAGGGGCUGGCGCUCAUUGUAAUUAAUCAUAGAAGACCUAAGGUCAGGAACCUGGGAGUAAUUCAUGUCAGAACGAGGGGACCUAUUCCAGGAGUUUUGCCUGUCUGGGGAAGGAUGGAAUUGUCCUCUAUGAUGUUCACCACCAGGUCCCUUGUCUCUAGUAAAGUCUCGAGAAAACACUGGUGACCCUAAAGAGUUGCUCCUCUGAUGCCCCCUUCCAGCGGCACGUGCCUUGAUUGCAUCGUCAACUUCAAUCUGCACAUCAUGUGCAAACCAUGUGUUUGGAUUUGUCACCUUGAGAAAAUCGAGAUCGAAUUUCACGUUCUUCCUAACUAACUUCUCAAAGAGAAAACAUUUUUCGAAGUAAUGGAAGAUUCAAACCCAUUUGAACAUCCAAACUGUAUCCAGAAACGUUCCUCAAAGUCCAAAUUACAACGGCAUCAAAACUACCAACACGAACUUCUGCUGCAGUAAUCAACAUGCAUGCUUACCAUGCUAGCAGAGUCACUUCUUGAAAAUCUACCUCUGCCACCUCCUCUACCUCUGCUAUUACGUCCACCUCCAGGCUUGUGUCGAUUACCACCACCUCGACCCCCGCCCCAUCCGGCAUCGCCGCCCACCCCGGCUUGAUGACCCUGCUUAGCAGCUUGCUUCUUCAUCCUUUUCGCCUCUUCCUCCUUCUCAUCAUCAGAAAACUCCUCAUCGUCUGAUAAUUCCUCGUCAUGCUGCCCGGAAGCGUCAUACCCUUUCUUCCUCAACUCUGUGUCAUCUUUAAGAACAAAGUUCGCAAAUUCUUGCACAAAUCCAACCGUCACGCCUCGUGAAGCUUUGUCCGGCACAUCGGCCGCCUUGUUGUAUCGGAUGACGUAGUAGGGUUUCUUAACGGGUCCGAAUACUUCAUCUACUAUCCCUAAAGGUUUUCGCUGUUCACUUAGCCACAAAAUUGAGCCUUCGUUCAAUACCAUCUCGUGUUCAACGGCUUCCACAAUAACUUGUUUGUCCAUGAUCUGUCAUUGAGAGUGCAGAGUGUAAGACGAACUUUUGCAAGUCGCAACACAUGCAGAAUACGUAAAGACGAAGUCGGCGUCGUUGGUUCUCCUAUUGAAAUAUCUGACAUUUUUAACACACACCCACGGCAAGGCUCCAUUCUAACUCUAGACUGUAACGAUAUGUUGAAAGAAUACAUUUUUUAACAGUUACAAUGGUCGAUCUAAAUGUGCUAAAACGUUGACCGCAACAUAAGCUCAAUUGUCAUGUAGCGUCUUUUCACCCGUUCGUUACUAGAGGUGGGGAAGUAAAACUAAACGAGGAGCUGCUUUACUUUCCAACAAAGGGCAUUGAUGCAGUAAAACUAAACAGAAGUCUAGGGAAGUUUUCUAAUCUCGCACAAGAUCAGACUCACAAACAAACCGUCGCUACUGCGACUUUUUCUCCUGACUCUAAUCUAGCCCUCAAUCUCAAGCCCCGGCGGCGUCAAGCUUUUAAAAUUAUUACGCUUCAGUAAAUGCGACAAAUUAUUUGCGAAAGACUUACAGAGGAGACAACGCCAACUUCACGUGGAACUUGAUUAGGCUCCAAGACUGCAUCAAUUUCUGACACAGGAGGCAAGUCCUGCAUCCCAACCCCAUUCACCACCAAGACCUUCAAUUCAAGCCCUAGAUCUCAUGAAUCCCGAUCCAGAACUUCUAAGAGACCAAUGUAUGUUACGCAAAACAAGUCAAGGAAUAGAGUAUGAGUAUUCCCCAGAGCAGGCAACAGGUCAGGUGCUCAUCAGUCCUGGACCUCAAAACAAGAAAUCACUUAAGCUCAAAGUCAUGAAGAACACCGUCACUUCGUUUGCAGUGCGGGGAGGCUCUGAGGAAUCAUCUUCCUCGUCACUAUCCGCCUCAUUUGCUCGCCGAACCAUCUUCUCCAGAUGCUCAGAGUUCUCUAUAAAACGUUUCUGCAUAUCAGCAGCAUUCACAUCGUCUUCCUCGUCGCUGGAUGCGUCCGACGACUCGCCACUGUCCACAAGCGGAUCACUAUCUUCUUCCACCAUACCCUUACCAUUUUUGCCGGCUCCCUCCUCAUCCUCACUCUCAUUCUCCUCCUCGCAUCCUUUCGCAACCCCGUGGCCGUUUCCAUGAACUGGGGUCUGACUGAAAGCCUCAGCAGCUUCUGCAGCAAGAAGCACAUCCUGUGGAAUACAACCAUCUAUGUCGCCCGUAAGCAGCACCUGCUGGCUGAUCUGCAUAUUGGACUCUCCUUCCUCCUCUUUGCUGCAUCCAGUGCGUUCCUCCAGUGCUUUCCUACUAGUGAUCCCAACGUCACCCCGCGAUCCCGUGUCCGACAUCCUCCCACCUCCGUUCGAUCCCAGCAUUUCUAUGUCAUAUGUCUCCAUAACUAUCUCCCCCGCCUCCACCUCCAUCUCCGAUCCCCCCUUCCCCUCCCCCGCCAUCAUUCCUUAUCACGCGUCUACCCUGCCUACUCCUUUUUUUUUUCACAACCUCCCCUGGCCAACCUAAACGCCCACCACUCCCUUUGCACAAAAGCCGUCCAUCUGCUCUCAAACCAAACCUUCACAACCCUUGACUUCCCACACUAACUCCCUUGCUCCGCUACUCCAAAACCCCCGGCGCUUCCGACACUUCCCUCCCUUCACGCACUAAUCAUUCCCGUGCCACGCCUGCCAAAUCACCCACACUCGCCUCCGCCACCGGAGCUGCGUGAUGAACUCACUCUGUUUCGCUGUGCCAACUCUCGUCUCGCUCUCGUCUACCGAUCUCGUCUCCCCAGCUUUGCAUUUUUUUUCUUUUUUAUUUUUCGUUCCUGUGCAGCAACAUCCGUCGCCUGCCCCAGCUUCCCUUUCGCAUACUGUAACUCAUGCCUUCCAAUCUUAACUUAAUCAUCCCUGUCGUCAACUCUGCUUCUGUCGUCAUUAUCAAGGUCGCCCUCCCCUUCCGUGCGUGGGGCCACUCCCGUCUGCUCCCCUCCAUAAUGAAGGUCCCCAAACCCCGUGAUUGUCUUUCCCCCUUUCCCCCCUCUCUCACUCUCUCUCACUCAGUCGCCCUCUCUUUCCUUGUCUCUCCUCUCGCAGCAACACUGCAUCUACACAGCACCCAUACUCUAUUCCCAGCAUGUAAACCUUUUCUACAUUUUUCCUUCACGGCCUUGGGGCCAGAUCGACCAAACCGACUAUGCCUUUGCAUCAUCGCUGCGUCAUGGUUGUAGGAGAGCACCGCGAAAAGCAAGGGCUUUCUUUACAUAGGAAAACAUAUCCUCAUGUUUCCCGUCAUACUCGUCCUUUCUCCCGUUAAUUUAUCAAUUUUUGACGCUAUUAUGCUUCGGCAUCAUUAAAGUGUCAGGGGGCUACUUUUGCGUUUGGUAGCAUUGGCGUAUCGAGUCGAGGCUUCAAGCUCACGCUUGAAUGCAUGCUUAGCAGUCGAUGGACGCUCUCCGUGUCGUCCGGUCACGCCUUCUUUGCAUUUAGUGAAGAUUCGGGAAGGGUUGAGCUCCACAUGGCGAGGUGAUUUGGAGGGCUUCCAUGGACAGGUCACUGUUGCCACAAUGAACCGGUCUGUCCAUUAAAAAUACCCUCGAUUUCAAUAAUGGAAACACUUCCGCAUGGGUUGCGAUCUGUUGGGUGAGAGACACGCCCACAUUGGAACACUCCAAUGAUACCGAUGCGGUCAAACGAUUUUUUUUUUUUUUUUCUCACAAACUGUCGAGAUCAUUUCCCGACAUUCGGGACGCCCGAGCGGGUCUCUUCCGCAACAGGUUUCGGCUCAAGUGUACGGUGACUGCAGUGAGGUGCAUGUUUCUGGAGACGAACUUAUCCAGCGAUGCAUGGUACUUUGCAGCCCCUCUGUUGCCGCAUUUAUGGAACCACUCAAGCCUUUGCACAACUAGAUAUUCAAUACGUUUUGGAAUUAUGUUUCCUCUCUCUCGUUAGACGCAACUUUCACAGUCAUCAUGUCCGAAAAGCGUUCCAUUUGCAUGAUCCAGCUAAUCUGACAGUGCAGAACGGUUCCCCAGUAGACUAGACAUUCAUGUACCAUUAGGGGGAAUACCAAACGUGUUGAAAACCGUAGACAGGCGCAUCAGAGAAAAUAUCAAACCUGCACAGCGAAGCUCUCUGAGUUCCUGCUCAAGAUGCACGCGCUUUGGUUCACGGCGAUCAUCACCGUAUUAAUUC